rnacentral:rRNA from 1 species
CCUACGGGUGGCAGCAGUGGGGAAUAUUGCGCAAUGGGCGAAAGCCUAACGCAGCGACGCCGCGUGAGGGAUGAAGGUCUUCGGAUCGUAAACCUCUGUCAGCAGGGAAGAACGGUCACUGUGCUAAUCAGCAGUGAAUUGACGGUACCUGCAAAGGCAGCAACGGCUAACUCCGUGCCAGCAGCCGCGGUCAUACGGAGGGUGCGAGCGUUAAUCGGAAUUACUGGGCGUAAAGCGCUCGUAGGCGGUAUGUCAAGUCAAGGGUGAAAUCCCCGCGCUCAACGUGGGAACUGCCUUUGAAACUGGCAAACUGGAGUGGUUGAGAGGAGAGGGGAAGUCCAGGGGUAGGAGUAAAAGCCGGAGAAAACUGGAGGAA